AUAACGACUCUCGGCAACGGAUAUCUCGGCUCUCGCAUCGAUGAAGAACGUAGCGAAAUGCGAUACUUGGUGUGAAUUGCAGAAUCCCGUGAACCAUCGAGUCUUUGAACGCAAGUUGCGCCCUAAGCCUUUAGGCCGAGGGCACGUCUGCCUGGGUGUCACG
rnacentral:rRNA from 8 species